CGACCCUCAGGCCCCUCCUGCAGGGGACUGGUGUUGGGGGACGGCACCCGCCGGGAGAGGACCUCGUCCUCCUCCGGCGCGCCGCCCCCGAAAUGCAGUGGCGGCCUCGCCCGCAGCGACCUCCGCGUAGUAGCACAAACCUCGCGGCCUGGGAAGCUGGGCGCGGCCACAGCCGUAAAACACCCACCACGCGAACACUCUUCGCACCCUAAG
rnacentral:misc_RNA from 1 species